rnacentral:rRNA from 1 species
AACGAACGCUGGCGGCAUGCCUAACACAUGCAAGUCGAACGAGACCUUCGGGUCUAGUGGCGCACGGGUGCGUAACGCGUGGGAAUCUGCCCUUCGGGUUCGGGAAUAACUCACCGAAAGGUGUGCUAAUACCGGAUGAUGUCGCAAGACCAAAGAUUUAUCGCCCAAGGAUGAGCCCGCGUAGGAUUAGCUAGUUGGUGAGGUAAAAGACUCACCAAGGCGACGAUCCUUAGCUGGUCUGAGAGGAUGAUCAGCCACACUGGGACUGAGACACGGCCCAGACUCCUACGGGAGGCAGCAGUGGGGAAUAUUGGACAAUGGGCGCAAGCCUGAUCCAGCAAUGCCGCGUGAGUGAGG